rnacentral:rRNA from 1 species
CAGCAGCCGCGGUAAUACGUAGGGUGCAAGCGUUAUCCGGAAUUAUUGGGCGUAAAGAGCUCGUAGGCGGUUUGUCGCGUCGGGAGUGAAAACCAGCAGCUUAACUGCUGGCCUGCUUUCGAUACGGGCAGACUUGAGGCAUUCAGGGGAGAACGGAAUUCCUGGUGUAGCGGUGAAAUGCGCAGAUAUCAGGAGGAACACCGGUGGCGAAGGCGGUUCUCUGGGAAUGUUCUGACGCUGAGGAGCGAAAGUGUGGGGAGCGAACAGGAUUAGAUACCCGCGUAGUCCCUGUCUCUUAUAC